GCAGCAAGCCGUCUUAUCGCCGCGAAUAUUUUCGGGGAGGAAAGUCCGGGCAACGCAGAGCAUCCUACUUCCUAACGGGAAGGGUUCCGGGCAACCGGAAUACAGCCAGUGCCACAGAAAAUUACCGCCAGCCUUGUGCUGGUAAGGGUGAAAAGGUGCGGUAAGAGCGCACCAGCGGCUGGGUGACCAGUCCGGCUGGGUAAACCUUAGGAGUUGAAAGACCAAAUAGGCUGGCAGCGCUUCGCUUCGGCGGAGCUAAGGGCUGCUCGUCCGAUGCCAGUGGGUAGGUCGAUGGAGCCUGCGCGCGAGCGCAGGCCUAGAUAAAUGAUAAGAACGCAGCGCCUUUCGGGGCGCUGCGACAGAACCCGGCUUACAGGCUUGCUGUUAAU
rnacentral:RNase_P_RNA from 1 species